rnacentral:lncRNA from 1 species
UUGUUGUACAGGUAUUCGGCUUGGAACAUGUUCCUUCUUAUAGCUACCAUUAAGCAACAAACUCUUUACGAGUACUGUAUAUCCUUCCACAAUCAUUCUAUAUUUUGCAUAUGAAUACCUGUAGCACUUCACAAGGUUGGCAGAAUACUGUACCAUGAGCCUUAAGAGAUGUCACUGGUAGCAGCUUCAUUUUCAAAUAGACGAUGAAUGAUUUGGGCUGAGAUAGAACACCCAUACAGAGAGAAGCCUUCAUGUGACUAGCCAACUAAAAUAAAAAAAUCGGAGGAUGCACAGGAGUAUCACGUGACACCGAGAGCAACGCUGAUUAGCGGAUCAUACUCAUAGCUGAGAAUGGCUGAUAAGGAGUCGGAAUCAGUGUCAGUAAAGUGGGACCAUCACCAUUCUGUGCUUCUCCAGGCUAUUAAGGAGAUAUACAAGAAGGAGAUUUUUACAGAUGUUAGACUUGAAUGUGAAGGCCGUGAAGUCUGGGUGCACAAGUUUAUUCUAUCAGCUUGCAGUGAAUAUUUUCAAAAACUGUUGAUAGAUGUUCCCCAUCAAGGUUCCAUUUCUUCCUGAUGUGCAGCACAGAGAACUUGUCUCCUCCUCACUUUAUGUAUUUCGGAGAAGUUGUUGUACCCCAAAGUGAUCUAGCAGAGUUAGUAAAUGCUGCUGAGAUCCUGUUGAUUCGAGGGCUGGCAGUUCCAUGUGAUUUUAAUGAAGAGCAAAAUGUGAAUGGGGAGAAGGUAGAACAGAAGGAGGUGUACAAAUUUACAAAGAAGUUGUGUAGAAACAAUUUGGAAAAUAAUAUAAACAAUAGUAAAAAUAAGUCUGGUUGUAAAUAAAAAAAGAAGGAAAAGCAGUGAAAGUUUUACGCUAAAAGAAGAACCUAUUGAGUAUGAAGAGUCAGACACACAAGACAUGACCAACAACUACUCACAUUAUCAAAAAUCACAUUCGGCGUCGGAUGGUUAUGAUUUAUGUGCAAAUAAGAACUCGCACAACAGAGAAAUGGAUGCAAACCCUGGUACAGAUGCCUAUCCCAAAGUUCGAGUGCUGAUAUCAAUUCUAUGCUGAAAGUCUUCAUAGGCAGCAACACUCCUGAUAAUAGAGGAAAGCAGUCUACUGAAGGUGUUAAGUGGAAAGAGACCAUUGAUCCAGGAAGCGGAGACCCAGCAGAAAAGAAGCAAGUAAUGAGGGGUAACUGAUAUUGGGUUUGUAUGUCCUGACUGUAAGAAGGUCUUUCAAUGGAGGAGUAACCUUACCAAACAUAUGAGAAUUCAUACAGGAGAGAAGCCAUAUAACUGUAAUGUUUGCUCAUACAAGACUAGUUACAGUGAAGCACUCAAGAGACACAUGAGAAUACAUACCGUGAAAAACCUUAUAAAUGUGACAAGUGUGAUUAUAAGUGCAGAGACUAUGGUUCAUUAAAACUACACAGUAAAAAACAUUGUCAAAAGGAUAAAGAGGAUAGCACAAUGGAACACAUAUCAUAGGUGUUACAAAUGGCAAAUUCCUCUGUAGUACUUUGUAUUCACUUUGAAUGUUUGACAGACAUUCAUAUUUUUUCUGGUUUAGGCCUACCAUCAGGCAGCAUCUUAUUAUACAGGCUGUUUAUUGGGAGCUUCUGUGUUCUAAGACAUCUCCCAUUUCUGUUAAUGAAGGUUAAUCUAUUAACUUCUGGGGUGAACCAGUUGCCUCUUCCCUCCUCACACUCAUAAGGAAGAUCAGGUGUACUGUAACAAUUGUCCACUAGAGACAACAGGUAUUUUGGACACAUCUGCCUAAUCAGCACACUUUCCACCUGACUUAAGUGCCUGCCUUCUCUUGAUCCAGGUCAGUUCAUCAUUUUGACUUCACUUCCCAGCUAAUUGCCAUUGUUUGGGAGUUGUCUGGGGAACUAGAACUAACAGUAGGCAGCCUGUGUUAAAAGAAGCCACUUGGAUAUGGGUUGCAGAAAAUAGAAUUUCAGGAUCAAUCCUCCAUUUCUAUUCUUAGUUCUUUAGGCAGUAUCAAGAGGCUGGGGGAAUGCUAUUCAUAGUAGAUGAAUUUUUCUGAAAAUUUUCUGGGCAAAGGCCAAAAAAUUGUUGUCUGUGGAAAAUAAAAAAAUUUUAAUGGUCAA